UUAAGUGAAUAUAUAAAUAUUUUGUCAUUUAUCCAUUGCAAUUUUAGUUUGGUUAACAGUAAUAACUACAAUUUACAUCAACAAAAACUCUUUAGAUUUUUCAGUGAUUUUUAAGAGUGUAAAGUGGUCCCAAGACAAAAAAAGAAAGUUUGAGAAUUGCAGAUUUAAAACAAACUAGGUUAUCAGAAUCAUCUAGGGAACUUGGUAAAAAUACAGAAUCUGGGCCCCACCCAACUAGAUUCUAAUUCAGUAGGGCUACAACAGAGCUCUGAGAAUUUGUAUUUUAUAAGAACUCUCCUAGUAAUUCUGAUUAUCAGUCACUGGUAAAAACAAUAAAUAUAUUGAAAGUUUGAGAAAAUACAGCCCCAGCGGAGGCGUGCACUACAAUUGUCAGAGAAGGCUUCAGUUAUCCAACAAACGUUUACCAAGCACAUACUAACUUCCAGGCAAUAUUGAGAUUGCUGGCCAGACACAAACCAUGUCCUGAAGAAACUCACUGACCAAUGGGAGAGGUGAAGAGGGAAGGCAAGAGUUCCUGUACACAGUCAUGGGGUCUGUGAUGGGGGAAAUGGGGUGCUGUGGGAGCGCAGAAGCAGGGCACACCACAUCAGAGGGCUGGCCUUAAAUGAUGGGAAGGUUCUGACAAGCUGAGGGGAAAGUGGUAACAAGGACUUAAGAUAAAAACCCAGAGGCUGAUGGUCAUGAUAUUCAUGCGGCAGGCAGUACAUUGGCCAAUCCAGCUGAAUUGGAGGACUAGUUAGAGAACAGAGCAAGAUAAGGUCAGGGAGGUUGGGUGGGCCAGACAACGGAGGAGUUUGACACCAAUGAGCUGCUUGGAGUUAUAAUGAAAUAUACAGAGAUAUAAUGAAAGAUACAGUUUAGGAUUGUAACUCUGGUGACAUAUGGAGGAUGAAGGGAUGAAGAACAGGAUUGCCUACCAGUUGGCAAUUAGAAUAAUGUGAUUCUGGGGGCCAUCCAAGCCAGGUAAGACAUUCAGCAGCAGUGUUCACGCUCAAGGUCUAAAAGAAAUUAGAUAAUCUCCUGACAAUCAGACAGUGUGAUAAAAUAAAUUUAAUAAACCCUCCCUGAACUUUCUACAUCCUUUUCGUUUGGAUUCUGUGAAUCAUUUGAUAGCAGCAGCUCUUGAAAUUUUAGGAUCAUAGACUCCUUUGAGAAUCUGAUGAAAGCUUUAGACUCUCUCCACGGUGGGGGAGGCGGGGAAUGAAUUUAAGCAAAAAGUUAUGUGUGACUAGACAGGAUUUUCUCCAAUCUCAUGUUCCUUUACCCUCUUAUCUUUUUCUUAUUCUCCUUUCUGAAAGAGGUGCUGUUUGGCAAGAAGGGAAAAAAAGAUUCUUUCGGCAGAAUAAGGCACCAGAGUUUUCCUGUAAGAGGUAGUAUUAGCAGAAAUGUUGAGGGUAGAAAGUUCACUUUGAAGUCCAGGAAGCCUCUUCCUGGGGAGCCAAAAGAAGCAAUACAAAGGGAAAACAGAGACGGAGCCCAGGUUUGGUGAAAGAGGAAGGGGAGAACUCUAUACAGGGUUUAACUGAUGCCUCAUGGAGGAAGUAAAGACUGUACACGAUGAGUAGAGGGACUGCCUAGAAGUAAGGCUUUCUUUCUGGAAAUGCACUCUAUCUUUACACCCAGCAAACAUGGUAGCUGUAACCCAGGGCAGGUUUUACACCUUAAGUCAGUUUCUUGUAAGCCGCAUCUUUCACAGCAUUUGGGAACCAUCAUCACCCAGUCAGAGCUGCUGGUCACAGUCGAGUAGGCUGUUCACUGAACAAAACUCUAGGCAGAGGGGACAAUGGAGACUGAAGGCCCACACGUGCUGAGUUUGCCAAGCUCGGUGGGGCCGUGUGCACCCAGAGCAGGCGCCAUUUUCUAAUUCUCACACAGGUGCUCUGCAGGCUGGUUUCGCUGUACCGCCUGCAUAACACUCUUUCUCUUCUGCUGCCUCCUCCUCUUCUAUGGGGAGAGCGGACUAUGGCAGAGAACGGUCAGUGUACAAGUCUCCACAAUAUUAUGUGGUCUGGGAACACUGGCCAGACUCCUAUCUCCCCUCCUCCCAUUCCCUGACUCCACCCUUCCAACUCACCCUCAUGCCUUUUCCAGAGCCUCUUACACACAGACUCUACUCUCUCAGAAAAAAAUAAAUCAAGGUUGAAGGAGAAAAAUUAUUCAGUACAUGACAAGUAUGCUUCUUCUACCAAGAGCACAAAGAACAAAACAGACCUCCCUCCUCCCCUCAACCCAAACCUCGAGGAGCGAAGAGAAAAGCUGUGAAAAAGGACAGCCCAUAAACGGCGCCUGAGUAACAGCCACAGAAUUGAAACCACAGGAGACCGCUGCCUUCUCCCACAGCUGUGGGGUGAGUCGGCUUGGCUGGCUUCCAGCUCACACACCUGCUGUGAGUCUUUCAGCCAGAAUUGGCCCCAAGCACAUUCGAGCUUAAUGCCCUCCCCUUGACCUUAGGGGGAGAUUUCAAGGUGUGGGAAAUAGAGUGUUACCCCGUCAGUCAACAAGCCUGGCUGACUUUCCCCACUUUGGGCUGUCCCCUCCUCCCCUGAGGGACUGGGCUUUUGCUGUCCUGGGUAGUUCCUUUGCUGAGGCCCCUGGUGGAGUUUGUGCCUCCAGUCUCAUUCCCACCAGAGCAAGCUAAAACCUAAAGCUUGACUUGGAGCAGAGGAGCAACUUGGCAGGCCAGGCCUUUUGACUUCAAGGAGACCCGGAGCCCACAGUCAUCAUCUUAACUCAUCAUUGACCAGGGGAAUUUUUGCAGAAACUUAUGCCUGUGGCCGACAAUUUGUUAUGCUUGGAGUUCCUACAGCACCCCCUCCCCAGUUAUGUAACAGGAGCUAGAGUGUGAAACCGAACAGGUGGAACCAUUCUUGGAAGUGUAGUGUCAGGAGCAGAAGCUUGCCCCACAUAGCCUGGACUGAAUCUUGACUCUUACGCAGGCUGGGUGUCUGACCUUGGCAUGCAAUACUUGUAUAAUCUGGGAAGAUAGGCAUAGAAAUACAUAUCUUGGCUUCCCUGGUGGCUCAGUGGUAAAGAAUCUGCCUGCCAAUACAGGAGACACGGAUUACAUCCCUAAUCCAGGAAGCUGUCACAUGCCACGGAAGAGGAAAAUCCAUGUGCCACAACUAUUGAGCCUGUGCUCAAUCCAGGAGCUGAAACUACUGAGCCCACGUGCCACAAGUACUGAAGCCCACUCGCCCAAGAGUCCGUGCUCCACAACGAGAGAAGCCACCGCAGUGAGAAGUUGGUGCACCACACUAGAGAGGAACCCCCACUCGCCACAACUAGAGAAAAGCCCGCGCAGCAACGAAGACCCAGUGCAGUCAAAAAUAAAUAAAACUUGUAUAAAAAAAAAAAAGAAAUACAUAUCUAUGUCAAGAAUCUCUUUCCUUUAUGACUCUUUUAACCUGUCCUGACCAGGCUGGUUUGCUGAUUUCCCUUCUGAGCAUUUGGGUGGAGGAAGGGAGAGUGUGUCUCUGGUUUCCCAUGAACCCAUGAAAGCCCAGCUCUGAGUUGUUCAGGGCUCACAGCUCUGGUUGUUGAGCUUGUUAAUAACAUGCAAGGCAGCGCUGCUGACUGGCUGCUGUGUCUUACUAAACCUUCCUGCUCCUCUACUGUUUCUGGUUUCACGUGUUGGCCUUUCCCUCUGACAUUUUCUUUUUUUCUUUUUUUUUAAUCACCUGCCAAUGUCCCUGACAUUUUAAGCAAAGAGUAAACCUUUAAAAUUCCAUCAUUGAAACCUGAAACAAAUAGACACAGAGUACAAAUCUCAAAGGCAGAGCUUGGGAGGUCUGAGGCCUGAGGGAAGAUGGAAGAGCUCCUCAGGGCCAAGACCUGGCCUCUAAAUCUCAGCUUUGCCUGCAGCUCUGUGUCUUGGGCAACUAC